rnacentral:rRNA from 1 species
AUACGGGGCUUAUGUCUUGUAAUUGGAAUGAUGGGAAUUUAAACACAUCUUCCAGAGUAUCAAUUGGAGGGCAAGUCUGGUGCCAGCAGCCGCGGAAUUCCAGCUCCAAUAGCGUAUAUAAAAUUGUUGCAGUUAAAAAGCUCGUAGUUGAAUUUCUGCUACAUUGCCUAUUCUCCUUUACGAGUUUGGGUCUUUUGUGGCUUAUCUGGGUUCGCUUGCGUUCCCGGUGUUUUACUUUGAGAAAAUUAGAGUGCUCA